CUGUUCUGGCUAACUUCACUCACACUAGACCGCACAUGUGUGUGUCUCCAGGGCUGACUGCAGCCUGCCAUCUGUGCACAACCAGAAGCAUGAGCUCUCCAGAGAUCAGAGUGAGACGGUGGAAACCGCUGCAGCAGUAGCAGGAUCGCAUGUGUCUACCCAGUUCCCCCUCCUGCCGCAGGAGUCUUUGUGGAGCCCGUCAGUCAGGUCAUCAGAGAGACAUUCAGCACAGACACGGAGCAGAAGAUUUAUAGCUGUGAGGUGAGAGCAGGUGAGACAAAAGGGAGCAUUUUUCAGUUGCUGCUGUGCCAGUCAUCAGAGGGUCAGAUCUCAUUAGCCGUCUGAUUUAUGGAGACUGAGGAAGGGACACCAAACUGAGGGAUUGGUAACUUG
ensembl:lncRNA